UACUUGUUGCCAGGCUGGCCAGAGCGAGGACAGGAGGAGAGAUGGGUUAAGACGGGGGCUGCUGGUGGCUGGCUGAGGAGGGAGCACUCAGGACUGAAGGAUGAAUGGUUUCCAAGUCAUGAAACCCACUGCCCUGGUGUUGCUGGUGGCCCUGCUACAUGCAGAGACAGAUGAGGGGACAGGAGGGAUUUCCAGCCCAAGGUCUGCGCUGCUACCAAUGCCCAAAUUACACCAUUGUAGACUCCUGUGAGCAGACCAUGUGCUCCUACCAUGGAAAGAAUGGAGUCUGCGUCACUGAAGAGGCAAGCACCACUAUAGACCCAAGAGAACUGAAAUUCCUUAAGGAUACUUGAAGUCUGAAAAUCAGUUUCACUGAGAAAAUAAAGAGUAAAACCCUGACCUUAAAGGAACAGCUUGACAGAAUUCAAAGAACAGUUACAUUAUCCAUCUUAAAACGAAAACACAAUAGACUCAUACUUUUCAUACCUUGUAAAAUGGGCUAUUAUCCUUCCUGUGGGUGGGCUAUGUUUUCCAUAGGUUUUCAUAUGCUCAGGAGACUGCUUAACAUAAAUAUUCCCAGUUUCACUGGACAAUGCGCCUCUCUCUCUAGAGGGCUCCCACCCACUCUAUUUCUUUGAGUAUGUACUUGUAAAAUACUGUCUGCUUCCUUCGUUUUUUACUGACCCAACCUGAAAAUUCUUUUCCUGCAAUGGAAGUCAGCAAGUCUGCCACCUACCUUGUGGGUCGUGUGAGUCCCGGUCCCCAUCGCUGCCUUGGGUCCCUCCUUGAACCCUGGCGAUACACCUACAUCCAACAUUUAAGAUAAUACGAAUACAAAAUGAAGGUCAAGCUCUGUACUACUUUCAGUUACCAUUGGGUAUCUGCAGGGCCAACUGAAUAGUCAGGUUUUUUUGUUUUUGUUAGCGAAAACCACUUUUAAGGCCCUAUUCCAGAGCACAAAUCAGGCAUUUAAUGAGCAACAGGUUAAGGGCCCACAAGUUUGUCCUUUUCCCAGUGGUGGCUUCUAGCAGUGUCAUCGGUUCCACCUCUGCAGUGCCUGCAGGAAUCAGGGUCAACAGAAGCCCAUCCUUAGGAAAGCUGUCUGGCCUUUGACAGUCAUACUAGAAUUUAAAAAAAAAGUACUGUGGAUUAAACUCAAGGACUUCGUGCUACUUUC